UUUGGCCGGGCACCCACUUCAAAGGUCCUCGUAAUGGGAAAGCAGGUUCUAGAUCGCAGCCCCAGUUUGUUCCCCAACUCAUUCCGUAAACUACGUCGAUGGCAGCUUUAUAUGUUCAAACAUAAAUCAUGCAUGAAUGUGGCAGAAAAGUGAUUCGAGUGGACUGGGAGCGGAGGCACUGGCGUACACAACUUUAUGCAAACUCCGACAAACAACAGGCGGUGGCAAAUUGCCCAACAAAUCAAUCAAAUACAUCUGACAGAUCCUGGAGGAGUCGAGGAAAAGUUGGGAUGCGCCACAGGACAUGUAAAUGAAAGCAAGAUGAAAACGAAAGGCUCUGGGCUGCCAUUAAAGUGGCUUGUCGAAUGGACCGGCCAAACGCCGAUGACCGGACAUGAUGGCCAAUGAUGCGGUUCGAUUAUUUAGGCCUUUAUCAAAGUUUCAAGUUGCAAAGUUGAAGAGAGAGAGACGUCCCGAUUAAAUAUUC
ensembl:ncRNA lncRNA:CR44802 long non-coding RNA:CR44802